rnacentral:lncRNA from 1 species
GAAUUUCAGGUUAUAAUAGGAGUGGGUGGUCUGACUUCAGUACUUAUAUUAUCUUGAUGGCUUCAAUGUUAGAAAGCUGGUUCUUGUUGUUAUAUAGGAUCAGUUUUAGCACCCAUGAAUUAAUAAAACCACUGUGACAUGCACUUGGCCAUUUCAUAAUGAAAUCAGACUAGUGUGAUAGAACUUAAGCUCUUAAAAUUCAGAACAAAAAAACACAAAGAAUAGGUAAAAUCCAUCACAGAAUCA